rnacentral:snoRNA from 1 species
UCACGGCUGUUCCUUUCACUGCAUGGAGUCUUAGGUGGUGGUAUUACAAUCCAUCAUAUAUCUAAGCUGACAUGUCUUCCUCAGGGCACCAUGAGGAUGGUUUGGCUGUUUUGUAGUGCCUUAGGAUUUUUGUGGAGUCACACAGUU